rnacentral:rRNA from 1 species
AUUGAACGCUGGCGGCAUGCCUUACACAUGCAAGUCGAACGGUAACGCGGGGCAACCUGGCGACGAGUGGCGAACGGGUGAGUAAUAUAUCGGAACGUGCCCAGUAGUGGGGGAUAGCCCGGCGAAAGCCGGAUUAAUACCGCAUACGACCUAUGGGUGAAAGCGGGGGACUCGCAAGGGCCUCGCGCUAUUGGAGCGGCCGAUAUCAGAUUAGCUAGUUGGUGGGGUAAAGGCCUACCAAGGCGACGAUCUGUAGCUGGUCUGAGAGGACGACCAGCCACACUGGGACUGAGACACGGCCCAGACUCCUACGGGAGGCAGCAGUGGGGAAUUUUGGACAAUGGGCGCAAGCCUGAUCCAGCCAUGCCGCGUGUGGGAAGAAGGCCUUCGGGUUGUAAACCACUUUUGUCAGGGAAGAAACGGUCUGGUCUAAUAAACCGGACUAAUGACGGUACCUGAAGAAUAAGCACCGGCUAACUACGUGCCAGCCGCCGCAGUAAGAC